AUCACACGAUGCGUGAUUCGAAGUGCCAUACGUCAAAAAACUGUUCCAUCGCUCGGAGGUGUGCAAGGUCCGCGAAUUGCGCGAAUUCUGUGCGAUUGUGGAUCUCGGGAUUUCCCCGUGAUUCGCUUCAAGAAAACGUUGUGAUCCUAUUGUCUCUGGUUGUGCCACUUUUGAUCCGACGCGAGCAGUGAGAGCAGUCGCCGAGCAAAGCCUACUUCUGCGUCUCCUGGUCGAAUGAUUCACGGCGGCAGGAGACGGUGAAAUUUCACCGAUCACCGCAGUGAGAAGAGCCGUCAGCAUAAUUGGCGAAAAGGGGCCCCCACGGAAAAGUGCCGAAAAGAUCGAGUGCGUAGACCCCCUGCCCGCCCCGAUCCGGUGUGUAGUGGAAACGUAAUUCAUCCGACACACGUUGUCAACGAAAGUGGCCCCCGCGAAAGAGAGGACGGUGGCCUUUGUUUCAUCCUUUAAAGGUGCUUUCCCGCUGGGUCAGUGCCGUGUGUGUGAAAAGUAAGAUGUAUCGGGCUGUGGGCGAAUAGCCGCGAACAGUGUAAUUACGAAGCGAAAGUUCAUUACGCUCACCCGGAAGCAACUGAAGAGCCUUUGGCUGCCAUCACUCUCCCUGGCCAUCAACGUCACGAAUAUUAGAUAGCGAGCAGCAUCGGCGCAAAAUGUAUUUCUACAAGCAAAGGCUGCUGCACACGACGCAGCUGAAGAAACUGGGCGACCACAAGUAUUCCUGCACCAACGUCAGCCUGAUGGAUCCGUUCCUGCAGCCGUGGUGGUGCUGGCUGGUGGCGAAGGUACCGCUGUGGCUGGCACCGAAUCUCAUCACGAUAGUCGGUCUCAUCAUCAACAUUGUCACGACGCUCAUACUGAUCUACCACAGUCCGAAUGGGCGAGAAGAGCCCCCAAGGUGGGCCUCGGCACUUUGCGCCGCGGGACUCUUUAUCUACCAGAGCCUGGAUGCGAUCGACGGCAAGCAGGCCCGCCGCACCAACUCGUCGUCGCCCCUCGGUGAGCUGUUUGACCACGGGUGUGACUCGAUUUCGACCGUAUUCGUUGCCCUGUCCGCGUGUAUCUCCGUCCAGCUGGGGUACUAUCCGCGCUGGAUGUUCUUCCAGUGUUUUUGCGCGAUGACAUUGUUCUAUUGCGCCCACUGGCAAACGUACGUGUCCGGUACGUUGCGUUUCGGCAAGAUCGACGUAACCGAGGCGCAGUGUACGAUCAUCACCAUCCACCUGAUCUCGGCGGUCUUUGGUCCUUCGAUCUGGAUGACAAAGCUGCCCUUGAUGGGAGGCAUUGACAUAAAAACGGUUCCACUGUACUUUGCCGUGUUUGUGUUCGGAUUGCUAGCGUAUCAGAACUCGGCCGUUAUCUUUACCGGUGGCGGCGUAGGCAAGAAUGGAUCGACCGUCGCUGGCACCAGUGUGCUGUCACCGAUCAUCCCGUUCCUGUUCGUCGUCGUGCCGGCCUACGUCAUCUCGCAGAAGUCCACCGACCACAUCUACGAGAACCAUCCGGCCCUCUACAUAAUGGCGUUCGGAAUGAUCACGGCCAAAGUGACCAACCGGUUGGUGGUGGCCCACAUGACCAAGAGCGAGAUGGAGUACCUCGACUGGGGCCUGAUCGGUCCGCUCUGUCUGUUUCUGAACCAAUACUUCAACUGCUUCCUGCCGGAGUACCUGGUCCUGUGGUUCUGUUUGCUGUGGUGCACGAUCGAUCUGAUACGAUACUGUGGCCAGAUCUGUCUGGAGAUUUGUGACUAUCUGAGGAUUGAGCUCUUCCGGAUUCCGUUCCCGCCGAAGCCGAUCAUGACAUCACAAGCGCUAACUCGUGUGUAACAUUCGUGUAUCCUUUCCGUUUCGUCGUCGUCGGAGGCCACCCGCGGAUUAAGUUUUUGCAUUUGCCCGCCAGCAUAGGGCUUAGGGCAGUAGGGACAGUUUAAAUGUUAAACUUUGGUCCCCCGACCAAAGAUGGAAGACGGAAAAGGAUCGAAGACGUUCAAAGGUUGUGCAGUAAUAGGGAAAAGAAAAGUGUCGAAAAGCGAAAGCGAUCAUAUACUGGUAGUGCCCCCCGGGGGGUUUAAAAGGAGGCCCCUGCGUCGCGUGUGUUUUAUGAACUUACGAUCACCCUAACCCGUAACGUCGGAACUGUGCUCCGCGAUGUAACAGCAUCCCGCCCGUAUCCGCUAAUGUUCGUGCGUAACCAAAGUCCCGUUCCAAAAUUGUUCUUGAGCGCGCCAGUGGGAAGAUAGAGCGCCAGUUUUGUGCGCGGCCAUUCGAAGACACCGAAGAGCUCCAGCAGUAUUCGAUGAGCAAUAACAACUGCAGCCGCAACCCAUCCUCGUACCCAUCGACCCCCGAGCGCCACUUGACCGUACCGCCGAGCCUAAGCCACCGGUCGGCUUCGGAGGACAGCUCGUCAA